GUAGCUGAGUUGGUUUAUUUAUUUAUUUAUGUAUUAGUUUCGCCAUAUUACAAUACACAAUACUAUAACAAGAAUAAUAUACAUGACUAUAUAGGCAGGGUGACCGCAACAGCGUGAGCCAAUUACUGGGGCCCGAAUCGCAGGUAGAGUUAUAUAGAUUCUGCCCCAGAAUCUGUUCAAUUCUGGUUAGAGUGCUGGUGGAAAAGCUACUAGAUUAAGGUUUGAGCCGGAUACUUAGGCUACAUAAUCUUAGGCAGGGCAGCUUGAUUGUGAUAUAAACAAAUAAACUUUGGAAUCUCAGUAAAACAAUCCACAUGGACUUUUAAAUUGUAACAACAAUCCAUGAUAAAUUUUAUAACAAUUUUAUGCACAAUUAUACAAUGUUUAGAAAAUUUUUUUACAAGAAUGCUAAAGCUAACAAAAAUUUAUAGCAAAGUGUUCUUCAAGCAUCUUUAUAUAGUGACAUGUCUCCAUUCUUCCCAAAUCCUACUGUUAACAAAUGAUGUAAAUGAACUUUGCCAUAAGUCAAAUUUUGCUAUUUUGCCAAUUUUAGCUAUAAUGUCUUAUGAAAUAUACAAAAAGGUUGAAAAUGAAAUUGAAUGAAUUGAAAAGUCAGCGUGUGAGAUUUUUGACUUAUGCAAAGCAUUUAUAUAUACAACAUUUGAUAGAAUUUUCACAAGUUGGCUAGCAAAUCAAAUAAUACUUUUUGUUUGUGGAAACACCACAUUAAUUUGUUACUGCAAAGCUUUCGAUCCGUAAGCUCGGAUCUUCAUCAGUGCUAAUAAUCGUAUUAUGAUCAUAUUAUUAGCACUGAUGAAGAUUCAGGCUUACGGACCGAAAGCUUUGCAGUAAUAAAUGUACGUGUUGUUUCCACAAACAAAAAGUAUUUUAUAGGCAUGCAAUCCUACAAAGAACUUAUGACUAGCAAAUUGUUAUGAAUGAAAAAGCAGACCACCAACUUCAAUCCUAGUAUUUCAUUGCUCCGCAAGCCGUUAAUCGGGCCAUGUCUCUAUUGCAAAGCCUCAUUGUAGAUGUCUAUUUUGUGAAAAUGUCACCAUAUUUCAUUGUCAGAGAUAUCCUCUGCUCCUAACCUCAUCAUCUCAUUUCUGCAUUAGAAAGUUCCUCCUCUUUUUUAAUGGUCGUCAAAUUUCUUGCCAACUCCUCUGCAGAAAUUGCAUCGGCAUACAGUGUUUCAUCAACAAAGCCCUCUCCCAGGAGUGCGGCCGUUUCAACGACGAUGUUCUCCUUGUCUUCUUUCUUAAUUAAAUCUUGCUCAAAGUCUUCAAGAUUGUUGUUAUUCAUCUUCUUUCCUAAAGUUGAAUUAUAAAAUUGGUUUCUAAAAGAUUCAAACUCAUUUCAGACGAGAGAUUUUCAGACGUUGGGAUCCAAUAUGGGUAGUGCUCUACAAUAAGAUGCUGUGGUUUGUCUCUCAACUAAAAGCCCUGGGGCUGAUUGUUUGAAGCUGGAUUAGCUUAACCCUAGCUUCCUGACAGCUUGUCUAUAAAUUUGGAAAGAUUUCUUAAGAGAUCUUGUCCGGAUUGAUCGGAGUUGAGUUCUCUGAAGUUUUGAAAUAAUCAGACGUGCAGAAAUACACAAACUAAAACAGCAGGUUAAAUUUGCCUAGCCUUGGGGUCCCAGUUUCCUUAUUAAAUCCAUCUUUGGAUUUAGAAAGGCAAAAACCAAACAGACAAAACAGUAACAUGAUUAUGAAUUGUUAAGCAAGACUACAGACUUGCCUCUCCUUCUAGUAUCACUGGUGGUCAGUGGUGACACCCUAAAC